rnacentral:rRNA from 1 species
GAGUUUGAUCGUGGCUCAGAACGAACGUUAGCGGCGCGCCUAACACAUGCAAGUCGCACGAGAAAGGGCUUCGGCCCCGGUACAGUGGCGCACGGGUGAGUAACACGUAGAUAAUCUUCCCUCGAGUGGUGGAUAACUCUCCGAAAGGAGAGCUAAUACAGCAUGAGACCACGGCUUCGUUGAAGCUGCGGCCAAAGCAGGCCUCUACACGUAAGCUUGCGCUUGAGGAUGAGUCUGCGGCCCAUCAGCUAGUUGGUAGGGUAAUGGCCUACCAAGGCUAAGACGGGUAGCUGGUCUGAGAGGAUGAACAGCCACACUGGAACUGAGACACGGUCCAGACUCCUACGGGAGGCAGCAGUGGGGAAUCUUGCGCAAUGGGCGAAAGCCUGACGCAGCGACGCCGCGUGAGCGAUGAAGGCCUCGGUUGUAA